rnacentral:rRNA from 1 species
AUUGAACGCUGGCGGCAUGCUUUACACAUGCAAGUCGAACGGCAGCGCGGGCUUCGGCCUGGCGGCGAGUGGCGAACGGGUGAGUAAUACAUCGGAACGUGCCCAGUAGUGGGGGAUAGCUCGGCGAAAGCCGGAUUAAUACCGCAUACGACCUGAGGGUGAAAGCGGGGGAUCUUCGGACCUCGCGCUAUUGGAGCGGCCGAUGGCAGAUUAGCUAGUUGGUGGGGUAAAGGCCUACCAAGGCGACGAUCUGUAGCUGGUCUGAGAGGACGACCAGCCACACUGGGACUGAGACACGGCCCAGACUCCUACGGGAGGCAGCAGUGGGGAAUUUUGGACAAUGGGCGAAAGCCUGAUCCAGCAAUGCCGCGUGUGUGAUGAAGGCCUUCGGGUUGUAAAGCACUUUUGGCGGGAACGAAAAGGACUGUGCCAAUACCACGGUUCGAUGACGGUACCCGCAGAAUAAGCACCGGCUAACUAC